rnacentral:rRNA from 1 species
AGCAUGUGGUUAAUUCGAAGCAACGCGAAGAACUUACCAGGCCUUGACAUGCAGAGAACUUUCCAGAGAUGGAUUGGUGCCUUCGGGACUCUGACACAGGUGCUGCAUGGCUGUCGUCAGCUCGUGUCGUGAGAUGUUGGGUUAAGUCCCGUAACGAGCGCAACCCUUGUCCUUAGUUACCAGCACGUUAUGGUGGGCACUCUAAGGAGACUGCCGGUGACAAACCGGAGGAAGGUGGGGGAUGACGUCAAGUCAUCAUGGCCCUUACGGCCUGGGCUACACACGUGCUACAAUGGUCGGUACAAAGGGUUGCCAAGCCGCGAGGUGGAGCUAAUCCCAUAAAACCGAUCGUAGUCCGGAUCGCAGUCUGCAACUCGACUGCGUGAAGUCGGAAUCGCUAGUAAUCGUGAAUCAGAAUGUCACGGUGAAUACGUUCCCGGGCCUU